AUACGGAGGGUGUAAGCGUUAAUCGGAAUUACUGGGCGUAAAGCGCGCGUAGGCGGCUACUUAAGUCAGAUGUGAAAUCCCCGGGCUCAACCUGGGAACUGCAUCUGAUACUGGGUAGCUAGAGUUUAGGAGAGGGAAGUAGAAUUUCAGGUGUAGCGGUGAAAUGCAUAGAGAUCUGAAGGAAUACCAGUGGCGAAGGCGGCUUCCUGGCCUAAAACUGACGCUGAGGUGCGAAAGCGUGGGUAGCAAACGGGAUUAGAAACCCCGGUAGUCC
rnacentral:rRNA from 1 species